rnacentral:lncRNA from 1 species
GGAAGAAGUGACUUCGGAAAAGCGCCUCCACAAGUGGGCCGGGGUAUGGUCCCCCGGAUAGGGCUAGGGCUUCCUCCUCUUGAACCCAUGAUGAAUGUGGGAUGCGCUCCUUCCGGGCCCCAGGCAGCUCUUCGCUGCAGCGCAGCGCAGCGCACUCUGAGGAGGAGCAGCGCACUGUGGAGGACGCGGGGCGCCGCUGUCCCUCUGCAGCAGCCUCUGGACGGACGGCGCUCUGGGGAUCACACACCAUCGGGCAAGCUAGGGUGACCUCCCACGGUCCUCACCAGCCGCCCGCGCCAGCCUGCAACCCCACGGGUAGUUUGCGUUGUGGAUGGCACAGGGCAGGCGCAAACUCACCUGGCGCCGGAGCUGCAGCGAGGGACGAGUUCUCAGCCGCGGAAACCACUGUUCUGAAAACAACCCGGAUAUCACAGCCAUCCAAGUAUGGCUUGAGAUAAAACCGAAAUCGAAACUACAUUACGUUUUGACUCACUGUUGCGGUUUUUGCAGUUUCCAAUGCUGCCUCUUGGAGGCAGAGACUCACCGCACUCCCCAUUCAGAAAGAACACUGGGGCGAAACCAUCACCUGACACCAGGCUUCCGGACCCUGCAGUGGCUAAUGCCUCUAAGGUCCGCAGCCCCACCCCACCACUUCUUGUGUUUCCUGUAUCUACGGGGAAGAAACCUGCAGCUGUGGGCUGUCGCGAACCUGUUGUGAGUGAGGAGUGAAUGCUGAAUCCUCCAGCCCUGGGUUUGUGUUGAGAAGUCUGCUGUGAUAUGCUUUCUAUAUCCUUUUAAAUUCUGUAAAAUCUGUGCUAAUGUCCUUUAAAUCUUGAUAUUGUAAUUUUAAAAAAUGUGUAAUUGAUAUUAUGUAACAGGAAGAAAAGGUCUAAAGGAGUAGGGGAAAGGAGUAGGAGGAGGGAGUAGGAAGGGCAGGGGGGAAAGGAAAGAAGGGAAAAGAAAAAAAUAUGAGAAAAGGAAAAUGGAAACAAAGUCGUAAAUAGGGAAGGAGGGUGAGCAGGGGAAUGGGGAAAAAUAAGAACCAAGAUACAUCAUGUAAAGGUACAAGAUCUCAAUGAUGAAUGUAACUAUUUUAUGCCUAAAAUGUACCAAUAAACUUAAUGGGGAAAAAAAUGCUUCUUGGAGCUGGGG